UCAACCACUCCGGAGACUGAAGUCCUAUGUUUACCCACUGCAUGACCUGUAAGAGCUGACUGCAUGGGUAACAAGCUUCUCAUCUACACCACACACCACCAAUGUACCUCUGCCCUGCCAGAGAGGGACCACCUCUAGAGUUCACCAGGGAGUUCAGUCUCCAUGGCUCACUGAGUACUUGAUCCC
ensembl:misc_RNA